AGGCUCUAGCGAUGGAGCGGGCAAUGCUGGUCUUGCCAACCCCUGGAGGGCCAUAAAAACAAAGAAUCUUCCCUUGGGUUGAUCCUCGCAGCUGGCUGACUGCUAUGAAUUCCUGAUGAACAGAAGAUGCAUUACAGGUGGGACGGGCAGCACCACCUACAGGUGAGUCGCAUCAAACGCGCAUUUAACUUACGCGAAUUCAACUAUACGCGCUUGGCAAAAAAAAAAAAAAAAGAAAAGAAAAGAAAA